rnacentral:rRNA from 1 species
AUUGAACGCUGGCGGCAUGCCUUACACAUGCAAGUCGAACGGGAGUAUCGAAGAAGCUUGCUUUUAAGAUACUUUAGUGGCGGACGGGUGAGUAACGCGUGAGGAGCUGUCCUAUGCAGGGGGACAACAGUUGGAAACGACUGCUAAUACCCCAUAAGCCGAGAGGUAAAAGGAGCGAUCCGGCAGAGGAGGUACUCGCGUCCUAUCAGCUAGUAGGUGAGGUAACGGCUCACCUAGGCGAAGACGGGUAGCCGGCCUGAGAGGGCGAACGGCCACACUGGAACUGAGAUGCGGUCCAGACUCCUACGGGAGGCAGCAGUGGGGAAUAUUGGGCAAUGGGGGCAACCCUGACCCAGCGACGCCGCGUGGGUGAAGAAAUCCUUCGGGAUGUAAAGCCCUGUUGUAUGGGAAGAGCAGAAGACGGUACCAUACGAGGAAGCCCCGGCAAACUACGUGCCAGCAGCCGCGGUAAAAC